GGAGCUUAUCGCGCCAUGGGUCCAGGAUGUCCGCAGGGUGGACGACCCUUGGAGUCACCGGUGGGAGGACACGGAUGACGAAAGCGAUGAUGACGUGGAUUUUCGGUGGGCGGUCGGUGCCGGGAUGGCUCCGCCCAGCGUGCGCGUCCGAGAUCAUCGCGGCGUCCGUGAUGACCCAUGUGACUUCCGGGGGUACGAGGUUGACACGGACGACGACCAGGAUGACGCCGUUUGGGCAGUCGGUGCCGGGAUGGCUCCGCCCAUCGCGCCCAUCCAGGAGCGUCACGAGGUCCGUGGAGACCCACGUCCCUCCCAGCAGUGUGAGGAAAGCUGGUGGAAGAGGGCGACGGGAGGUCGCCAGCCAGCAACUGCGCUGCCGGGACUGCCUCGCAGGGAAUCCUCCAUUCCUGCUCCAGUCGCCGACCCGCAUUCCCUCUGCCCGGACGUUCCCCAGCAAAAUGGCAGCGCAGCACCAGCGUCCACACCUGCUGGAGAAGACGUCCACCCCCCUCCACACCACACACCUACCACCAUCUCCAGCGACGUGCCCAGCCCCGUGUGGGACCGCCCAAUUGUCCCGGGACCCUUCAGUGGGGCAGCAGACACAGACGAGAUCACUACCAUCCUCACGUGUCUGACUGGAUCAGCAUGGGGCUGGAGCACAACCCUCUGGCAGCAGGGAGAGACAGACAGGAGUUUUCGGGACUUCCAACAGAGACUGAGGGCGGAGUUUGAUCGGCCUGAGCCAGGGAUCGAACUCUGCCCCUCCACCACAUCCAGUGCCAGUCAGGAUCCGGGGCAAGAAGACCCAGCACUGGUGGGCGACGAGAAGGUCGCUCCUCCCGAGAUCCUGGCUGUGCCCCCUGAGGAGGUCCCAGAGAGCCCAGAGAGGGAGCCAGACGACCCUCUCUUCUGUCUGUCUCUGUCUGUGUGUGUCUGUGUGGCAUAUGUGUCCGUAUGUCGCCCCCAGUUCCCCUCUUUGUGUCCACCAGAUGGCGACCCAGCCGCGGAGCCGAACCCCAGGGAGGAGGUUCCUGACCCGAAUGUGCUGGUCCAAGGCGAGGUGGACAAGCCCCAAGGUACCCCUAAGUCCAGCCGGGGGGGGUGCUCCCCCA
rnacentral:lncRNA from 1 species